rnacentral:rRNA from 1 species
CGGCAACAGCUCAAAUUUGAAAUCUGGCUCCUUCGGGGCCCGAGUUGUAAUUUGUAGAGGAUGCUUCGGCGUUAGCGCCGCCCAAAGUUCCUUGGAACGGGACGUCAUAGAGGGUGAGAG